UCCCGGUCGCAGGCGAAAAGACACGGAUGCAACCUGAGUCCUAGGAUUCCGGGGACCAGAGGGCAGCGCCGGCGGCCAAGAUCGUGAGGUGCCAGAGACGCAUUUGAGAAGUGAUCCCAUGAAGUCCAUGAGGGUGGGGAACCACCUACCAGAGAGGAGCGGGCGAGGAAUGCUGCCCUAUUAUGGUGGACCAUAGAAGACUUCACCAGACGUUGGUGUCAUGCUUUUAGACUUCCAGCCUCCAGAACCAGGAGCCAAAUAACCUUCUGCUAUUUAUAAGUUACCCAGUUUGUGAUGUUGUUUUUCUCUCUUGUUUGGAUUUUGAGACAGGGUCUCACUCUGUACUUCAGGCUGGCCUCAAACUGCUUGGGAUUACAGGCCUGGCUUGGCAUUCUUUUUAUAGCGGCAGAAAAUGGACAGAAGGAAAAUGAAGGUGGCUUUGUGACACAUCUGUAAGCCCAGCACAGAAUGAUUGUGAGUUUGAGGCCAGCCUGGGCAAGUUCAAGGCCAGCGUGGACUAAAUAGUGAGACUUUGUCUCAAAAAAGAAAAAAAUAAAUAAAAUGAAGGUGAGCAAAACUGAAGAUGUUUGCUGUAAAUGCUUAGUAAGUCUUAAUGCAUUAUUGAAGUUCAUAAAAUGAUAACUCCCUUCAGCUAUCUCAUGUGGCAAUUUUUAUUCCUUUUCAAAUAAGUUGUAUAUGUUUGAUCUUAUGGAGCUUUGUAACAUUCCUAUGAGGUAGACAGAAGUACAAGUGUUACCUUUCCAUUUUACAGAUGAGGAAAUCAAAGCACAGAGCUGUCACACAGCAGGGAGGUAUGGCUUUGCCUACAGUCACACAGAGCUGUAGCUGGUUCAGAAUUCACUGGCAGAGCCACUGUGAAUGGAAACUGGAAUAUGCAGGGUAUGGGUUAAUCAAGGCCUGACAUGGGGUUUGAAUCAGUUGCCAGGGUUUGUCCCUGAGCAAACAGUCUGUGCUGGUAGCAGUCCGGCAUGUCAAGGACCCAUUGUUGAUGUCCUGGCAGGUGGCAAGGGAAAGAACUGGUACAUAGGCAGGACAUUCUCACCCCAGGAACACCCUCUCAUGACUGAUUCCCUUUACAUCAACCAGCUGGAUACAAGACUUGGUUUUUCCUGUCCCAGAAAAAAAUGCCAAUCAAAACAACAAAAAAAAGAGAGGGAGGCGGGCUGACUUCUCUCAAGGGAACUUGGUCCUAGAGCCAGGAGUAUCUCUGCCAGGAUGAGAGGGG
rnacentral:lncRNA from 1 species